UAGUGGCGGACGGGUGAGUAACGCGUGAGAAUCUGCCUUCAGGAGGGGGAUAACGACUGGAAACGGUCGCUAAUACCCCAUAUGCCUACGGGUGAAAUGUUUUUCGCCUGAAGAUGAGCUCGCGUCCGAUCAGCUAGUUGGUGAGGUAAUGGCUCACCAAGGCUUACGGGUAGCUGGUCUGAGAGGAUGAUCAGCCACACUGGAACUGAGACACGGUCCAGACUCCUACGGGAGGCUGCAGUCGAGAAUCAUUGUCAAUGCACGAAAGUGUGAACAUGCGACGCCGCGUGGAGGAAGACGGCCUUUGGGUUGUAAACUCCUGUCAGCAGGGAUGAAUGGCAGCAUUACUAAUAGUGAUGUUGUUUGACAGUACCUGCAGAGGAAGUCACGGCUAACUCUGUGCCAGCAGCCGCGGUAAUACAGAGGUGGCGAACGUUGUUCGGAUUUACUGGGCGUAAAGGGUCCGCAGGCGGAUCGGUAUGUCAGAUGUGAAAGCCCACAGCUCAACUGUGGAAUUGCAUUUGAAACUGCCGGUCUAGAGUACUGGAGGGGAGAAGGGAACACUUGGUGUAGCGGUGAAAUGCGUAGAUAUCAAGUGGAACACCGGAGGCGAAGGCGCUUCUCUGGACAGAUACUGACGCUCAUGGACGAAAGCUAGGGUAGCGAAAGGGAUUAGAUACCCCUGUAGUCCAAGCCGUAAACGGUGUGCACUAGGCGUGGGAGGCUUUACCCCCUUCCGUGCCUGAGCUAACGCAUUAAGUGCACCGCCUGGGGAGUACGGUCGCAAGAUUGAAACUCAAAGGAAUUGACGGGGGCCCGCACAAGCGGAGGAACAUGUGGUUUAAUUCGAUGAUACGCGAGGAACCUUACCUGGACUUGACAUAUAGCUGCAUACGAUCCGAAAGGAACGUAGCCUUCGAGGGUGCUAUACAGGUGCUGCAUGGCUGUCGUCAGCUCGUGCCGUGAGGUGUUGGGUUAAGUCCCGCAACGAGCGCAACCCCUGUGUUUAGUUGCCAGCACGUAUGGGGGGAACUCUAAACAGACUGCUGGUGAAAACCAGAGGAAGGUGGGGAUGACGUCAAGUCAGUAUGGUCCUUAUGUCCAGGGCUGCACACGUGCUACAAUGGGAUGUACAGUGGGAAGCCAAGCCGCGAGGUGGAGCAAAUCCUCAAAAUCUCCCCCAGUUCGGAUUGGAGUCUGAAACUCGACUCCAUGAAGUUGGAAUCGCUAGUAAAGGCGUAUCAGCUACGACGCCUUGAAUACGUUCCCGGGUCUUGUACACACCGCCCG
rnacentral:rRNA from 1 species